ACUGACAGCCAUGGUUACCGCGGCUGCUGGCACGGAGUUAGCCGGUGCUUCUUCUGCGAGUAACGUCACAGAUGUAAGGUAUUAACUUACACCCUUUCCUCCUCGCUGAAAGUGCUUUACAACCCGAAGGCCUUCUUCACACACGCGGCAUGGCUGCAUCAGGGUUUCCCCCAUUGUGCAAUAUUCCCCACUGCUGCCUCCCGUAGGAGUCUGGGCCGUGUCUCAGUCCCAGUGUGGCUGAUCAUCCUCUCAGACCAGCUAGGGAUCGUCGCCUAGGUGAGCCUUUACCUCACCUACUAGCUAAUCCCACCUGGGCUUAUCCAUCAGCGCAAGGCCCGAAGGUCCCCUCUUUCCCCCGUAGGGCGUAUGCGGUAUUAGCAGUCGUUUCCAACUGUUAUCCCCCACAAAUGGGCAAAUUCCCAGGCAUUACUCACCCGUCCGCCGCUCGUCAUCUUCAAAAGCAAGCUUUUGAAAUGUUACCGCUCGACUUGCAUGUGUUAGGCCUGCCGCCAGCGUUCAAU
rnacentral:rRNA from 1 species